CGCCUGUUUAACAAAAACAUCUCUUCUCGUUGUUUUUGAAUGUAUGGCCUGCCCUCUGCUGUUAGUUGAAGGGCCGCGGUAUUUUGACCGUGCAAAGGUAGCAUAAUCAUUAGUUCUUUAAUUGUGAUCUGGUAUGAAUGGCUUGACGAGACAUGAGCUGUCUUAGGGGUAUUGGUUUGUUGAAUUUGGUUUUUGAGUUAAAAUUCUUAAAUGUUUUUAUGGGACGAGAAGACCCUAUAGAGUUUGACAAUUUUGUUAUUUGUUUAUUGUUUGUUUCUUGUUACAUUGAGUGGGAAUAAUUGUUUUGUUGGGGUGAUGGGAGGAAAAAUAUUUAACUCCUCUUUGUUUUUGUAGAUUUAUGUAUAUUUUUUUGAUCCAUUUAUUAUUGAUUAUAAGAUUAAAUUACCUUAGGGAUAACAGCGUAA
rnacentral:rRNA from 1 species